rnacentral:tRNA from 1 species
AAGAAAUUUAAAUAAAAAAAAAGCUUCUAACUUUUUCUUGAGCGUAAAAAUGUUCGUAUUUCUU